rnacentral:rRNA from 1 species
UACGUAGGUGGCAAGCGUUGUCCGGAAUUAUUGGGCGUAAAGCGCGCGCAGGCGGUCCUUUAAGUCUGAUGUGAAAGCCUCGACGCUACACGUGGAGGGUCAUUGGAAACUGGGGGGACUUGAGUACAGAAGAGGAAAGCGGAAUUCCACGUGUAGCGGUGAAAUGCGUAGAGAUGUGGAGGAACACCAGUGGCGAAGGCGGCUUUCUGGUCUGUAACUGACGCUGAGGCGCGAAAGCGUGGGGAGCAAACAGG